CAUCAGACCACCAUUGGAAGUUCCCGCUCUCUGGCUCUUGGAGGAGACACCUGUCUUGCUAGAUGUGGCCAAGCGAAGAAUUUUUUGUCCAGGUGCCUGAAAACAGGGAGACGAGAAGAAGAUGUGGAAGAGGCCACGUACAUUAGAAAAUCUAGCAGCGCUGAUAAGUGAUGGAUAUAAAGCUUGAGCAAGUCUGUCUGCAUCCCCCUCAUAAAAAUGAAGAACACUGUGUUCAGCCCCAGGCCUGGAACAUUCCUUUGAUGAGUUAAUCUCCAGCCAUCCUUCAAAUCUCAGCCCACUUGUCACUUCCUUAAAAAGAUCUCCCAUCGUCCCGCUGAACACCCUCUUCAGUACCCUCAUUGCAGUUGUUUCUGUUCUGGAAAAACAAAAUCCAGCCUUGAUCUUGCCUGGACAUCUCGCCUGAAAUACCAAAUGCACGUUCCAUCCAUAAGACAUUCCCUGGGCUGAUUAUUCAUUCAUCUUCAUUCCUCACCGAGCAUCAAGUUAUAUAUGCACAGUUAUUAGUAAUAAAUACC
rnacentral:lncRNA from 1 species